GAUGAACGCUGGCGGCGUGCCUAAUACAUGCAAGUCGAGCGAACAGACGAGGAGCUUGCUCCUCUGACGUUAGCGGCGGACGGGUGAGUAACACGUGGAUAACCUACCUAUAAGACUGGGAUAACUUCGGGAAACCGGAGCUAAUACCGGAUAAUAUAUUGAACCGCAUGGUUCAAUAGUGAAAGACGGUUUUGCUGUCACCUAUAGAUGGAUCCGCGCCGCAUUAGCUAGUUGGUAAGGUAACGGCUUACCAAGGCAACGAUGCGUAGCCGACCUGUGAGGGUGAUCGGCCACACUGGAACUGAGACACGGUCCAGACUCCUACGGGAGGCAGCAGUAGGGAAUCUUCCGCAAUGGGCGAAAGCCUGACGGAGCAACGCCGCGUGAGUGAUGAAGGUCUUCGGAUCGUAAAACUCUGUUAUUAGGGAAGAACAAAUGUGUAAGUAACUAUGCACGUCUUGACGGCACCUAAUCAGAAAGCCACGGCUAACUACGUG
rnacentral:rRNA from 1 species